GUGCUGCUGUUGGGUGUUGUACCAUUCAUGGCUGGUUACUGUGCCCCACUGCCCAUGGCGAUAUAUCUGGUGCUUUCAUAAAGCAACAACGAAGAAAUCAGUCAAGUGAUCAUCUCCGACACGUCAUUAACUGCUUUCUUUGUCGUGCUAAGACAAUUCGCAAUCAUAGUUAACUAAGAUGUCGUGUCGUGCUGCUGUUGGGUGUUGUAUCUUUGUUGGCUGGGGCGACCACUGGUAUACCGAUGUCUUCUGGGUAUGGCGGAUACCAAACCUCAACGCUGCCGCCUUACUACGCAACUCCAUAUGACACGACCAGUUACUACACCGAGGCCCCCAAGUACUAAACCAAGGCUCCAGAUUAU